rnacentral:rRNA from 1 species
GCCAGCAGCUACAUCAGUCCAGCUGGCAGUCCCACUGAGAGCACAGCAGGUGUGAGCCUGGUCAGUACCUGGAUGGGAGACCUCCUGGAAAGCUAAGGUUGCUGCUGGAA